rnacentral:rRNA from 1 species
CGUAGGGCGCAAGCGUUGUCCGGAAUUAUUGGGCGUAAAGAGCUCGUAGGUGGUGUGUCGAGUCUGCCGUGAAAGCCUGGGGCUUAACUCCGGGUCUGCGGUGGAUACGGGCAGACUAGAGGCAGGUAGGGGAGAACGGAAUUCCCGGUGUAGCGGUGAAAUGCGCAGAUAUCGGGAGGAACACCAAUGGCGAAGGCAGCUCGCUGGGACGGUACUGACGCUGAGGCUCGAAAGCGUGGGGAGCAAACAGG